rnacentral:ncRNA from 2 species
GGCAAAGUAGGGCUAAGCGCGUCAAGUGCCAGAUGGACGGGAAGUUGCCGCUGGACGAAAAAUUCUGAUUAAAAAGAUACUUUUGAUCAUCAAUUUAUGAUGUUUAACCCGCAUUCCGUUGCC